GACGAACGCUGGCGGCGUGCUUAACACAUGCAAGUCGAACGGAAAGGCCCUGCUUUUGUGGGGUGCUCGAUUGGCGAACGGGUGAGUAACACGUGAGUAACCUGCCCUUGACUUUGGGAUAACUUCAGGAAACUGGGGCUAAUACCGGAUAUGAUCUCCUGCUGCAUGGUGGGGGUUGGAAAGUUUCGGCGGUUGGGGAUGGACUCGCGGGUUAUCAGCUUGUUGGUGGGGUAGUGGCUUACCAAGGCUUUGACGGGUAGCCGGCCUGAGAGGGUGGCCGGCGACCUUGGGACUGAGAGAGGGAGCAGACGCGUACGGGAGGCAGCAGUGGGGAAUAUUGCAGAAUGGGCGGAAGCCUGAUGCAGCAACGCCGCGUGCGGGAUGACGGCCUUCGGGGUGUAAACCGCUUUCGCCGGAGACGAAGCGUGAGUGACGGUAAUGGGUAAAGAAGCACCGGCUAACUACGUG
rnacentral:rRNA from 1 species